CUCAAGCCAAGUGCCAAAUAUCAAGUGUCAAAAUCUGUGAAACUUUUCAUGAGUUGGAAAGUUCUGAAAAAACUCACAAAUGUCUGUGUAUUUUGUUUUAGUCCCUGACCUGUCCCAGCUGGUGGUGUCACCCYGGCAGCACCUGGAGCAGUUCCCCACCACCACGUAGGGGYGAGGGGCAACCACACGUGACCGGCRGCCACCGAKCCGUGCUGCGUGCCKGAUCUCCUGGGAAGGGGCACUGCCAGGAGAGACGUCCAACACACCCAGCACAGGACGCGCGUUGGCAGAAGCAGAACAGAGCCAGGCAUCCUGWACCGAAACCUCUCCGUGGAGUUUGACAAUUUGCAGAACUUUCCUCUGGGRAAGAAAUAAUACAUUGUGCUAACUGAUUUUGGAAAGCUCAGAAGAUACUUAUGGGACAUACGUGCCUUCCAUUUCCUCUUCCCCCAACGGAUUUCAUUUUCAGACUGUAAAUAUAUUUUUCUUCUUUUGUUGUUAUAUUGCAGAACAUCUCUCUUACAGAGAGAAUUAGGUAGGAUAUUAAAAGGAAGGAGAUUUCAGGUUGAUUAUUUGUUCAUUUAUUUUUGUGCCCAUCUUUCCUGCCUGUUUCUCACCCCUUGUCUACCUGAGCAUGAUUAGUGGUGCUUGAACCCAAGUUCUAAAAUCAAAUCUGAGAAAAUAAGGCUGUAUCUUGGAGAUCAUCUGGUCUGACCACCCCCCAAAAUGCCUGAUAAACUGUAUCUCAUUUUGUGAUAGGUGCUUUUCUUACUAGUUCUUAAAAACCUACAAAAAUGGAUUUUCCAGAAGUUUCCCGAGAAAUCUCUUCUAGUACUUUAAUCCUCUUUCUAUUUGACCUUUUUUUCAUGGUAUUUAACCUAGAUCUACCUGCAAUUUUGUCUGUUA
ensembl:lncRNA